UACGUAGGGGGCAAGCGUUGUCCGGAAUCAUUGGGCGUAAAGAGCGUGUAGGCGGCUCGGUAAGUCCGCUGUGAAAGUCCAGGGCUCAACCCUGGAAUGCCGGUGGAAACUGUCGGGCUAGAGUCCGGAAGAGGCGAGUGGAAUUCCUGGUGUAGCGGUGAAAUGCGCAGAUAUCAGGAGGAACACCGAUGGCGAAGGCAGGUCUCUGGGCCGAUACUGACGCUGAGGAGCGAAAGCGUGGGGAGCGAACAGG
rnacentral:rRNA from 1 species